AAGAAUUAAGCUGAUCAUUGUUUUGUUGGGAAUCCGGUACUCGCCCCGGUACCGGAUCUUGUGAAUCCGCAACCCGCUUCGAUACCGAUUGCUAUGAAUCCGGUACCGAUUGUUGGGAUUCUGCAACGGAAGCGUUAAAUCGGAUUUUUAUCAUAAACCCGUCUCCUCAGCAGAAGCUGAUACAAUCAUAAAAGAGAAAAAUAUGCGAGUAAAAUAAGAUUCAUUAAAUAAAAGAAGAUUACACCUGACUUCUUUUCUGCACAGAGUAGCUACACCCCGAGCCCUCUUUCUUGAAUCUCUCCUACCUUUCUCUCGUCUUCUAUGCUCCAGAAGACAUCUUUCUCAUCCUGUGCAUCCAUGCACCAGGUAUACCAAUGGCUCACGGCUACGAAAGCCGCACACGUCCUUUUACACCCAUGCACUAGAUGCAAUUAAAAUCAUGACCAUCUUGGCCAUGCCAUAUGGCUAAUCCAUAUCACCACCAAAGUAAUAUCACCUAUGCUAUAUUUAUAACUUACAUCAAAAGCUAUCCAAAUCCUAAUAUAAUUAGGAUUCUUACUCUGAUAAAUAUUUAAAUCUAUAUUUAGUUUACUUCAAUAGAUUUAAAUAUUUAUCCUAAACUAAUUAAAUUUAUAUUUAAAUCUUAAUUUAUCUUCAAUAGAUUUAACUAUUAAUUCUUAUUUAACUAGGAUUCAACUAUAAAUUUAACCAAAUCCUAACAUGUUUAUGCAACU
rnacentral:lncRNA from 1 species